GACAGAGGGUGCAAACGUUGUUCGGAAUUACUGGGCGUAAAGCGCGUGUAGGCUGCUUGGAAAGUCGGAUGUGAAAGGCCCUGGGCUUAACCCAGGAAGUGCAUUCGAAACUUCCAAGCUCGAGUCCGUGGAGAGGGUGGCGGAAUUCUCGGUGUAGAGGUGAAAUUCGUAGAUAUUGGGAAGAACACCGGGUGGCGAAGGCGGCGCUCGUGGACCGAGACUGACGCUGAGGCGACGAAAGCGUGGGGAGCAAACAGG
rnacentral:rRNA from 1 species